rnacentral:rRNA from 1 species
CCUACGAGAGGCAGCAGUGAGGAAUAUUGGUCAAUGGGCGCGAGCCUGAACCAGCCAAGUAGCGUGAAGGAUGACUGCCCUACGGGUUGUAAACUUCUUUUAUAAAGGAAUAAAGUGAGGCACGUGUGCCUUUUUGUAUGUCCUUUAUGACUAAGGAUCGGCUAACUCCGUGCCAGCAGCCGCGUUACUACGGAGGAUCCGAGCGUUAUCCGGAUUUAUUGGGUUUAAAGGGAGCGUAUAUGGGUUGUUAAGUCAGUUGUGAAAGUUUGCGGCUAAACAGUAAAAUUGCAAUUGAUACUGGCAGUCUUGAGUACAGUUGAGGUAGGCGGAAUUCGUGGUGUAGCGGUGAAAUGCUUAGAGAUCACGAAGAACUCCGAUUGCUAAGGCAGCUUACUAAACUGCCACUGACAUUGAUGCUCGAAAGUGUGGGUAUCAAACAGGAUGAGAUACCCUAGUAGUC